CAAGUCUUUAUGUUCGAGCCAGACUAGCUGCAUCUUAGCCUCAUCUAGUUCAUCUUUGAAGAGUAUGGUUCCAGAUCAGGUGGCUGACCCUGCAGAUUUGUUGGAUGCUCCAGAAAAGAUGGAUACAGCUUCUUAUCAUGAGGAGCACAAGGCAUCUGAAGAUGUAAAGUCGGUGAUCCACAAGGAUCUUCUAGAUGAAGAUACAGCUUCCUCUCAUGAGGAGGAGCACAAGGCAUCUGAAGAUGUAAAGUCGGUGAUCCAUGACAAAGAUCUUCUAGAUGAUGAAUGGGAAAUGUGUGACAACCGGGAGUUAUGUAUGUGAAUCAAGUGGUAUAUGUCGUAACUAUAUAGAAAAACCAUUGACUGCUUGCUUUAGUUCCAAAUCUCUCAUCUAUUAAAUAAGUUUCUUGGUAGAAACUUUUUUGAAUUCCAGUUUGUUAUGCCAUUUUGUAAUGGUGGCUGAGAGCUAUUUCAAACCUGAAGUAUCUCAUCUCGAUUUUGAAGUAUAUGUACAGAACAAGUAUAUACUAACAGCUUAUAUAUAGAGAAGUACAUCAUGUUUUUAGUCAAGUUUAGCUUUAUGGUUUCAGCUUGAAAGUGUUGUAGCCUAUUUGUCAGGAAUGCAGGGCUAUGAGUCAAUUUAUAAAUUUUCACAUACUAUACAUACUGUUUUUCUUUAUAAAUUUAUAAAUUUUCACAUA
rnacentral:lncRNA from 1 species